CGUAGGUGAACUGCGGAAGGAUCAUUAACGAGUUUUGAAGUGGGAUUGAUGCUGGCCUUCCGAGGCAUGUGCUCGUCCUCGCUCAUCCACUCACAACACCUGUGCACUGUUGAGGUGUGGCCCCCCUUCAAUGGAGCCGUUCCCCCUUCUCUCGAAGGGGUCGAGCCGGGGUCAGGCCUUCUUCGUCACAAACAACUCGUAAUGUAUAUUCGGAAUGUAACGCUUCAUGUUAAUGAAACAAUACAACUUUCAACAACGGAUCUCUUGGCUCUCGCAUCGAUGAAGAACGCAGCGAAAUGCGAUAAGUAAUGUGAAUUGCAGAAUUCAGUGAAUCAUCGAAUCUUUGAACGCACCUUGCGCUCCUUGGUAUUCCGAGGAGCAUGCCUGUUUGAGUGCCAUGAAAUUCUCAACCCUCCUCACUUUUGUGGGAAGGGCUUGGACUUGGGGGUUUGUUAUUGCUGGUCUUCUGAUCGGCUCCCCUUGAAUGCAUUAGCCCGGGACCCUUUGCCUCCCAGCCAGUUUCACGGUGUGAUAGUCUAUCAACGCCGGUGUCCUGGUGUUCAGGUGUGGCAAGACAGCGGUCCGGCUCUCUAACGGACUUUGAAAGUCAACUUUACCCAAUCUGACCUCAAAUCAGGUAGGACUACCCGCUGAACUUAAGCAUAUCAAUAAGCGGAGGAAAAGAAACUAACAAGGAUUCCCCUAGUAACGGCGAGUGAAGCGGGAUGAGCUCAAAUUUAAAAUCUGGCGGUUUAGGCCGUCCGAGUUGUAAUCUGGAGAAGCGUUUUCUGCGCUGGACCGUGUAAGUCUCCUGAAUCCCGCGG
rnacentral:rRNA from 1 species